GGCGUUCGGUGUCACUGAGCCAGGCUGCUAUGGUGUCAUCGAUGUUGACACUGGGAAGUCGACCCUGUUUGUGCCCAGGCUUCCUGCCAGCCAUGCCACCUGGAUGGGAAAAUUGCCAGCGUCCUGACGUCACAGAAGCCCUCUGUCCUCCUCACUUUGCGUGGCGUCAACACGGACAGCGGCAGUGUCUGCAGGGAGGCCUCCUUUGACGGCAUCAGCAAGUUCGAAGUCAACAAUACCAUUCUUCACCCAGAGAUCGUUGAGUGCCGAGUGUUUAAGACGGAUAUGGAGCUGGAGGUUCUGCGCUAUACCAAUAAAAUCUCCAGCGAGGCCCACCGUGAGGUAAUGAAGGCUGUAAAAGUGGGAAUGAAAGAAUAUGAGUUGGAAAGGUAAGCCACCAUGUUUCUCCGGGUAAAAUUAAAAGGUAAAAAAC
rnacentral:lncRNA from 1 species